GCUUACGGCCAUACCACUCUGAACAUGCCCGAUCUCGUCUGAUCUCGGAAGCUAAGCAGGGUUGGGCCUGGUUAGUACUUGGAUGGGAGACCGCCUGGGAAUACCAGGUGCUGUAAGCU
ensembl:rRNA 5S_rRNA 5S ribosomal RNA